rnacentral:rRNA from 1 species
AGAGUUUGAUCCUGGCUCAGAUUGAACGCUAGCGGGAUGCUUUACACAUGCAAGUCGAACGGCAGCGCGAGAGAGCUUGCUCUCUUGGCGGCGAGUGGCGGACGGGUGAGUAAUAUAUCGGAACGUGCCCAGUAGCGGGGGAUAACUACUCGAAAGAGUGGCUAAUACCGCAUACGCCCUACGGGGGAAAGGGGGGGAUCGCAAGACCUCUCACUAUUGGAGCGGCCGAUAUCGGAUUAGCUAGUUGGUGGGGUAAAGGCUCACCAAGGCAACGAUCCGUAGCUGGUUUGAGAGGACGACCAGCCACACUGGGACUGAGACACGGCCCAGACUCCUACGGGAGGCAGCAGUGGGGAAUUUUGGACAAUGGGGGAAACCCUGAUCCAGCCAUCCCGCGUGUAUGAUGAAGGCCUUCGGGUUGUAAAGUACUUUUGGCAGAGAAGAAAAGGUAUCUCCUAA